rnacentral:rRNA from 1 species
ACUCAAAGGAAUUGACGGGGGCCCGCACAAGCGGUGGAUUAUGUGGUUUAAUUCGAAGCAACGCGCAAAACCUUACCUAGCCUUGACAUGCUCCUGAAUCCUGCAGAAAUGCAGGCGUCCCGCAAGGGACAGGAGACACAGGUGCUGCAUGGCUGUCGUCAGCUCGUGUCGUGAGAUGUUCGGUUAAGUCCGGCAACGAGCGCAACCCUUGUCUUUAGUUGCCAUCAUUAGGUUGGGCACUCUAAAGAGACUGCCGAUGUCAAAUCGGAGGAAGGUGGGGAUGACGUCAAGUCCUCAUGGCCCUUACGGCUAGGGCUACACACGUAAUACAAUGGUCGGUACAAAGAGCUGCGAACUCGCGAGAGGGAGCUAAUCUCAAAAAACCGGCCUCAGUUCGGAUUGGAGUCUGCAACUCGACUCCAUGAAGCUGGAAUCGCUAGUAAUCGCGGAUCAGCACGCCGCGGUGAAUACGUUCCCGGGCCUUGUACACACCGCCCGU